UAUGGAGGGUGCAAGCGUUAUCCGGAUUUACUGGGUUUAAAGGGUGCGUAGGCGGGCCUUUAAGUCAGUGGUGAAAGCUCCGAGCUUAACUCGGAAACUGCCAUUGAUACUAUUGGUCUUGAAUUCGGUCGAGGUUGGCGGAAUGUGUCGUGUAGCGGUGAAAUGCUUAGAUAUGACACAGAACACCGAUUGCGAAGGCAGCUAGCUAGACCGACAUUGACGCUGAGGCACGAAAGCGUGGGGAUCAAACAGG
rnacentral:rRNA from 1 species